AUGAUGGGAGUAUAUAAACGGGUUCCUCUCCAUUUUUCUCAGUUGUUUAUUUUUGGAGGUGACAGAGAACGUGCUGCGACGCCUCCUCCUCCUCCUCCUCCUCCUCCUCCUCCUCGUUCUCGUUCUCAUCUACGGUUCCUCAGCCACACCUGACAUCAUGAAGUCGUUGCUGGUCCUCACUUCGGCCGCUUUGCUGAUGUCCUUCGUCAGCGGAAGACCUCAAGGCUUUGGCGGGUUCGGUGGACACGGGGGCUUCGGCAGUGGCAGCCAUGAACACGGGGGCUUUGGAGGACACGGGGGCUUCGGCGGUGGCAGCCAUGAACACGGGGGCUUUGGAGGACACGGGGGCUUCGGCGGUGGCAGCCAUGAACACGGGGGCUUCGGAGGUUUUGGUGGACACAGUGGCGAACAUGGUGGCUUUGGUGGUUUUGGUAGUCACGAACAAGGUGGCUUUGGUGGUUUUGGUAGUCACGAACACGGUGGCUUUGGCGGUUUUGGUGGGCAUAACGGUGGUUUUGGCCUCUUUAACGGUUUUGGUGGAUUCGGUGGACAAGGUUUUCCCCACGACCACGGUUUCUUCUUUGGGAGAAAAUGAUAGCGGCGGCAAGACAGCGACGGCGACCACUUUUUUGGACCUUUCGGGGGAGAUUACGGAAGAUAAGAGGCGCCUGUUCUUUCCAUAUCACGUUCCUGUGUGUGUGUGUGUUUGUCUCGCAGCACCUCCGUUUCUCUCUUCCUCGUGGACGUUGGAAAAAAAGUCUCUGAUAUGUUUGGAGAAAAGGAAAGAAAAAGUAUAUACGUCCCUGAUAUGUUCAAAAAGGUACAAAAAAAAGUCCCAGAUAUGUUUGAUGAAAAGUAUAAAACAAGUUCCUAAUAUAUUCAAAAUAGGUAGAAAAAAAAAAAAAAAGGAAAAUGUCCCUGAUGUCUUCUAAUAUAUUUCCCGGGUCAUUUGAUGUGUCUGUUUGGUUUUGUAUUUAUUGUUACCACGGAAUUAUGUUACUGGUGUUAUGUAUGUAUUGCUUAAAAGGUUCCGAUUGCUUGAUAUAUAGACAGACCUCGGUUUGCUUGUUAGUGUUGGAUACGCUAUGAAAGCCAUGUUAAGUAAGUAAGCAAUGUUGGGAGCAUCAUCCUCGUCGCAUUAAACCCUUGAGCCUGUGGUAGGAAGAGCUGAAAUCUGUCGGAAAAAAAAAAUAUAUACAAAACACACUAUCAUAAGUUGUCAAUGGGCGUUUAUUCUUCCCAUACUGAACUCGAGGUUGAAAUAAAGUGCGUUGUCAACAUCUA